AAACUGGACCGACCUUCGGGAGCUUGUACAGGUGCUGCAUGGCUGUCGUCAGCUCGUGUCGUGAGAUGUUCGGUUAAGUCCGCUAACGAGCGCAACCCUCGCUGUGUGUUACAAGUGUCACACGGAACUGCCGGUCAUAACCGGAGGAAGGUGGGGAUGACGUCAAGUCAGCAUGGCCUUUAUAUCCUGGGCUACACACACGCUACAAUGGGAAGGGACAAUAGGUUGCGAAGCCGCGAGGCGGAGCCAAUCCAGCAAAACUUCCCUCAGUUCAGAUUGCAGGCUGCAACUCGCCUGCAUGAAGUUGGAGUUGCUAGUAAACGCAGGUCAGCCAUACUGCGUUGAAUACGUUCCCGGGGCUU
rnacentral:rRNA from 1 species